AAAAAAAAGCUUACAUUGAGCUCUUGGGAACCAAAAGCAGAAAUUCCAAUUAAUGCAGUAGUAGAUAAAAAUUAUUAAAUGAAUAAUAACAAAAAAAUAAAUCCUAUUGAGAAAUGUUAAAGUGGGGUGUAUAUCUUACACUCCAUCAUUUCAAGAGUUGAAACAGCUUUUUAGGUUUUUAAUGUUAAGAAAAAAGAUUGUAAUAAGACUAAUAAGAUAAAAUUGAUCUUUGGAUGAAUAGGGUACAGAAGUUCUACAUCUAUGUU
rnacentral:lncRNA from 1 species